rnacentral:rRNA from 1 species
UACAGAGGUGGCACGCGUUGUUCGGAAUUACUGGGCGUAAAGGGCGCGUAGGCGGCCUUCUAAGUCAGACGUGAAAUCCCCCGGCUUAACCUGGGAACUGCGUCUGAUACUGGAUGGCUUGAGUAUGGGAGAGGGAUGUAGAAUUCCAGGUGUAGCGGUGAAAUGCGUAGAUAUCUGGAGGAACACCGAUGGCGAAGGCAAUCCCCUGGGCCUGCACUGACGCUCAUGCACGAAAGCGUGGGGAGCAAACAGG